GUUGUAUGGUUAAGUGACUAAGCGUACACGGUGGAUGCCUUGGCAGUCAGAGGCGAUGAAGGACGUAUUAACUUGCGAUAAGCCCAGAUUAGGUAGUAAAAACCAUUUGAGUCUGGGAUUUCCGAAUGGGGAAACCCACUAGCAUAAGCUAGUAUCGCUGCGUGAAUACAUAGCGCAGCGAGGCGAACCGGGGGAACUGAAACAUCUAAGUACCCCGAGGAAAAGAAAUCAACCGAGAUUCCGAAAGUAGCGGCGAGCGAAAUUGGACUAGCCCUUAAGCUUUUUAUGCGUCAGGUGAAACUUCUGGAAAGUUGUGCGAUACAGGGUGAUAGCCCCGUAACCGGCAACGCAUUUAAAGUGAAAUCGAGUAGGGCGGGACACGUGAUAUCCUGUCUGAAUAUGGGGGGACCAUCCUCCAAGGCUAAAUACUACUGACUGACCGAUAGUGAACCAGUACCGUGAGGGAAAGGCGAAAAGAACCCCUGUGAGGGGAGUGAAAUAGAACCUGAAACCGUGUACGUACAAGCAGUAGGAGCAGGCUUUGUCCUGUGACUGCGUACCUUUUGUAUAAUGGGUCAGCGACUUAUAUUCAGUGGCAAGGUUAACCAUCUAGGGGAGCCGUAGGGAAACCGAGUCUUAACUGGGCGUUCAGUCUCUGGAUAUAGACCCGAAACCAGGUGAUCUAGCCAUGGGCAGGUUGAAGGUUGAGUAACAUCAACUGGAGGACCGAACCGACUAAUGUUGAAAAAUUAGCGGAUGACUUGUGGCUAGGGGUGAAAGGCCAAUCAAACCUGGAGAUAGCUGGUUCUCCCCGAAAGCUAUUUAGGUAGCGCCUCGGACGAAUACUACUGGGGGUAGAGCACUGUUAAGGCUAGGGGGUCAUCCCGACUUACCAACCCUUUGCAAACUCCGAAUACCAGUAAGUACUAUCCGGGAGACACACGGCGGGUGCUAACGUCCGUCGUGGAGAGGGAAACAACCCAGACCGCCAGCUAAGGUCCCAAAUUACUACUAAGUGGGAAACGAUGUGGGAAGGCUCAGACAGCCAGGAUGUUGGCUUAGAAGCAGCCAUCAUU
rnacentral:rRNA from 1 species